rnacentral:rRNA from 1 species
UUCCGGUUGAUCCUGCCGGACCCCACUGCUAUCGAGGUGGGACUAAGCCAUGCUAGUCGAACGAACUUAGGUUAGUGGCACACUGCUCAGUAACACGUAGCUAACCUACCCUUAAGACGGGGACAACCCCGAGAAAUUGGGGCUAAUCCCAGAUAGGUGUGAUGUUCUGGAAUGGUAUCACGCUCAAAUGUGUUCGCACGCUUAAGGAUGGGGCUGCGGCCGAUCAGGCAGUUGGUGAGGUAACGGCUCACCAAACCUUUGACCGGUACGGGCCAUGAGAGUGGUAGCCCGGAGAUGGACACUGAGACAAGGGUCCAGGCCCUACGGGGCGCAGCAGGCGCGAAACCUCCUCAAUGCACACACGUGUGAAGGGGUUACCUCGAGUGCCACCUGAAGAAGGUGGCUUUUCUGUGGUCUAAAAAGCCUAGGGAAUAAGAGGGGGGCAAGACUGGUGUCAGCCGCCGCGGUAACACCAGCCCCUCGAGUGGUGGGGAUGAUUAUUUGGCCUAAAGCGUCCGUAGCCGGCCGUGUAAGUCUCCCGUUAAAUCCAGCGUCUCAAGCGUUGGACUGCGGGAGAUACUGCUCGGCUAGAGAGUGGGAGAGGUGUGCGGUAUUCUGGGGGUAGGGGCGAAAUCCUUUGAUCCCCGGAGGACCACCAGUGGCGAAGGCUGCACACUAGAACACGUCUGACGGUCAGGGACGAAAGCUGGGGUAGCGAACCGGAUUA